AUUGAACGCUGGCGGCAGGCUUAACACAUGCAAGUCGAGCGAGCGGCGGACGGGUGAGUAAUGUCUGGGAAACUGCCUGAUGGAGGGGGAGAACUACUGGAGAAGGUAUCUAAAACCGCAUAUAAUCGGAAGUGACCAGAUGGGAUUUGCUAGUAGGUGGGGUAAAGGCUCACCUAGGCGACGAUCCCUAGCUGGUCUGAGAGGAUGACCAGCCACACUGGAACUGAGACACGGUCCAGACUCCUACGGGAGGCAGCAGUGGGUAAUAUUGCACAAUGGGCGCAAGCCUGAUGCAGCAAUGCCGCGUGUGUGAAGAAGGCCUUCGGGUUGUAAAGUACUUUCAGCGGGGAGGCGUUACCCGCAGAAGAAGCACCGGCUAACUCCGUGCCAGCAGCCGCGGUAAUAC
rnacentral:rRNA from 1 species